GACGAACGCUGGCGGCGUGCUUAACACAUGCAAGUCGAACGGAAAGGCCCUGCUUUUGUGGGGUGCUCGAGUGGCGAACGGGUGAGUAACACGUGAGUAACCUGCCCUUGACUUUGGGAUAACUUCAGGAAACUGGGGCUAAUACCGGAUAGGAGCUCCUGCUGCAUGGUGGGGGUUGGAAAGUUUCGGCGGUUGGGGAUGGACUCGCGGCUUAUCAGCUUGUUGGUGGGGUAGUGGCUUGCCAAGGCUUUGACGGGUAGCCGGCCUGAGAGGGUGACCGGCCACAUUGGGACUGAGAGACGGCCCAGACUCCUACGGGAGGCAGCAGUGGGGAGUAUUGCGCAAUGGGCGGAAGCCUGAUGCAGCAACGCCGCGUGCGGGAUGACGGCCUUCGGGUUGUAAACCGCUUUCGCCUGUGACGAAGCGUGAGUGACGGUAAUGGGUAAAGAAGCACCGGCUAACUACGUG
rnacentral:rRNA from 1 species